rnacentral:rRNA from 1 species
GAUGGAGAUGCUACGCUAUGGCGUAUCAGACAAGUUUAGAUACCCUGGUAGUCCACGCAGUAAACGAUGAUUACUAGGAGUUUGCGAUAUACCGUCAAGCUUCCACAGCGAAAGCGUUAAGUAAUCCACCUGGGGAGUACGCCGGCACGGUGAAACUCAAAGGAAUUGACGGGGGCCCGCACAAGCGGAGGAACAUGUGGUUUAAUUCGAUGAUACGCGAGGAACCUUACCCGGGAUUGAAAUGUAGAUGACGGAUGGUGAAAACCGUCUUCCCUUCGGGGCGUCUAUGUAGGUGCUGCAUGGUUGUCGUCAGCUCGUGCCGUGAGGUGUCGGCUUAAGUGCCAUAACGAGCGCAACCCACAUCGGUAGUGGCUAACAGUAA